rnacentral:lncRNA from 1 species
UAUGAAGCCAGUGUCCCCUAGACUGGCUCCUGCCAGAGCCCAGAAGGUACACUGAGGCAGAUUGGACUAGAACUCUACUCAGGAGAACAGAGCCUGGACAUGACAGAGGGGAAGACAUGUGCUGCUUGGUCUCCAGGAUGAACUCGUCACCCUGACUGGCUUCCUGGCAGGUACUCGACUGUGCUUGUUGUCGGAGGAGCUUGGGGCCUCUGUGUGGCUAAGGAUGGCUGUGGUGCCUUUCAGGACAGCCCUGAUCUUUUUGUGUGACUUCUCAGCUCCAGUUCAAUCUACCAGCACAGCUCCUUCACCCCACUGGCAUGGACUUUCUGGCUUCCACUGCUGACCUUUGGGCCUUCCCAGCACAGAUCCAUAAAGAGACUGGCGUGAGUCCUUCUUGUGGGCUCUGGACCUCCUGUUGGACUCAGGGGAGGCAUUGACAUGAGCUCUGAGUUUUCAUCCGAACUCAUGUGGAACAUUGCUGUGGGAUUUAGGCC